CCUACGGGUGGCAGCAGUAAGGAAUAUUGGUCAAUGGACGCAAGUCUGAACCAGCCAUGCCGCGUGGAGGAUGAAGGUCCUCUGGAUUGUAAACUUCUUUUAUUUGGGAAGAAACUCCCGAUUUCCAUCGGGAUUGACGGUACCAGAUGAAUAAGCACCGGCUAACUCCGUGCCAGCAGCCGCGGUAAUACGGAGGGUGCCGGCUUUACCGGGUUUAAAGGGUGCUAAGGUGUGCAGGUAAGUCAAUGGUGAAAUCUCCGGGCUUAACCCGGAAACUGCCAUUGAUACUAUUUGUCUUGAAUACUCUGGAGGUGAGCGGAAUAUGUCAUGUAGCGGUGAAAUGCUUAGAUAUGACAUAGAACACCCAUUGCGAAGGCAGCUCACUACGGAAAUAUUGACGCUGAGGCACGAAAGCGUGGGGAUCAAACAGGAUUAGAUACCCGGGUAGUC
rnacentral:rRNA from 1 species